rnacentral:rRNA from 1 species
CGAUGAGGCCCCUCGGGGCGGAUUAGUGGCGAACGGGUGAGUAACACGUGGGCAAUCUGCCCCUCACUUCGGGACAAGCCCUGGAAACGGGGUCUAAUACCGGAUGACAUCCUUGCCCGCAUGGGCGGGGGUUGAAAGCUCCGGCGGUGAGGGAUGAGCCCGCGGCCUAUCAGCUGGUUGGUGAGGUAACGGCUCACCAAGGCGACGACGGGUAGCCGGCCUGAGAGGGCGACCGGCCACACUGGGACUGAGACACGGCCCAGACUCCUACGGGAGGCAGCAGUGGGGAAUAUUGCACAAUGGGCGCAAGCCUGAUGCAGCGACGCCGCGUGAGGGACGACGGCCUUCGGGUUGUAAACCUCUUUCAGCAGGGAAGAAGCGCAAGUGACGGUACCUGCAGAAGAAGCGCCGGCUAACUACGUGCCAGCAGCCGCGGUAAUACGUAGGGCGCGAGCGUUGUCCGGAAUUAUUGGGCGUAAAGAGCUCGUAGGCGGCCUGUCGCGUCAAUUGUGAAAGCCCGGGGCUUAACCCCGGGUCUGCAGUCGAUACGGGCAGGCUAGAGUGUGGUAGGGGAGAUCGGAAUUCCUGGUGUAGCGGUGAAAUGCGCAGAUAUCAGGAGGAACACCGGUGGCGAAGGCGGAUCUCUGGGCCAUCACUGACGCUGAGGAGCGAAAGCGUGGGGAGCGAACAGGAU